rnacentral:rRNA from 1 species
CAGUCGCCACGGUAAUACGAGGGGGGCAAGCGUUGUUCGGAAUUAUUGGGCGUAAAGGGUGCGCAGGCGGUUUCUUAAGUCUGAUGUGAAAGCCCCCGGCUCAACCGGGGAGGGUCAUUGGAAACUGGGAAACUUGAGUGCAGAAGAGGAGAGUGGAAUUCCACGUGUAGCGGUGAAAUGCGUAGAGAUGUGGAGGAACACCAGUGGCGAAGGCGACUCUCUGGUCUGUAACUGACGCUGAGGAGCGAAAGCGUGGGGAGCGAACAGGAUUAGAUACCCCCGUAGUCCCUGUCUCUUAUAC